rnacentral:rRNA from 1 species
GACAGAGGGUGCAAACGUUGUUCGGAAUUACUGGGCGUAAAGCGCGUGUAGGCUGCUCGGAAAGUCGGAUGUGAAAGCCCUGGGCUUAACCUAGGAAGUGCAUUCGAAACUUCCGAGCUGGAGUUCUGGAGAGGAAGGCGGAAUUCUCGGUGUAGAGGUGAAAUUCGUAGAUAUCGGGAGGAACACCAGCGGCGAAGGCGGCCUUCUGGACGGUGACUGACGCUGAGACGCGAAAGCGUGGGGAGCAAACAGG